rnacentral:tmRNA from 1 species
GGGGACGUCAUUGGUUUCGAUAGGGGUCGCUGAAGGUAGAGUUGCGUGUCGAGGUGCCGUUGGCCUCGUUAAAAAGCGGCAAGCCAUUUAACUGGCAAAAACAUUUCCAUGGGUGCUCCUCGCACCCUCCAAUUCGCUGCUUAAUUGACGGCGACAGUGACUGCAUAGCCCAGCUGAUGGCGCUGCACGAACUGUAACUAAAAGUCAGCUGGUUCAGGUUCAUGCUUCUACGGCCUGAAUAAGAUGAGUUGAAGAUUGCGCAAAGGCGGCCUGUUCAGGGGCAGGCCCAGCGUGAAAUAAAAAUACCUGAGCUACACACGUAGAUGCUCGCUGGAAGGGCUCUUAGACGGGAGUUCGAUUCUCCCCGUCUCCACCA